rnacentral:rRNA from 1 species
CGGCAGGCUUAACACAUGCAAGUCGAGCGGGGGAAGGUAGCUUGCUACCGGACCUAGCGGCGGACGGGUGAGUAAUGCUUAGGAAUCUGCCUAUUAGUGGGGGACAACAUCUCGAAAGGGAUGCUAAUACCGCAUACGUCCUACGGGAGAAAGCAGGGGAUCUUCGGACCUUGCGCUAAUAGAUGAGCCUAAGUCGGAUUAGCUAGUUGGUGGGGUAAAGGCCUACCAAGGCGACGAUCUGUAGCGGGUCUGAGAGGAUGAUCCGCCACACUGGGACUGAGACACGGCCCAGACUCCUACGGGAGGCAGCAGUGGGGAAUAUUGGACAAUGGGGGGAACCCUGAUCCAGCCAUGCCGCGUGUGUGA